rnacentral:tRNA from 1 species
UGGAGAUAUAGUUCAGUGGUUGAAUGCUUGCCUAGUGUGCAUGAGGCCCUGGGUUUAAUCCCCAACACUGCAA